rnacentral:rRNA from 1 species
GAUGAACGCUGGCGGCGUGCCUAAUACAUGCAAGUCGAGCGAACAGAUGAGGAGCUUGCUCCUCUGACGUUAGCGGCGGACGGGUGAGUAACACGUGGAUAACCUACCUAUAAGACUGGGAUAACUUCGGGAAACCGGAGCUAAUACCGGAUAAUAUAUUGAACCGCAUGGUUCAAUAGUGAAAGACGGUUUUGCUGUCACUUAUAGAUGGAUCCGCGCCGCAUUAGCUAGUUGGUAAGGUAACGGCUUACCAAGGCAACGAUGCGUAGCCGACCUGAGAGGGUGAUCGGCCACACUGGAACUGAGACACGGUCCAGACUCCUACGGGAGGCAGGAGUAGGGAAUCUUCCGCAAAGGGCGAAAGCCUGACGGAGCAACGCCGCGUGAGUGAUGAAGGUCUUCGGAUCGUAAAACUCUGUUAUUAGGGAAGAACAAAUGUGUAAGUAACUAUGCACGUCUUGACGGUACCUAAUCAGAAAGCCACGGCUAACUACGUG